rnacentral:lncRNA from 1 species
GCAAUGGAAUGGAUGUGUUUUACAAAGGGAACUCUUUGACAUACAAGAUUAUUGGAGGGGUACUUGAUUUUUACUUCUUUGCAGGACCUACACCUCUGAAUGUUGUUGAUCAGUAUACAUCCUUCAUUGGUAGACCAGCUCCAAUGCCUUAUUGGGCUUUUGGUAUGAUUCACUUUUCAUUGUGUUCAAUAUAUUUUGUGGUCUAUAAGAUUCACUUUCAAUAGUAUUUCUUUGAUGUGUGACACGUCUCGAAUAAGAUUAUUUCGGAAUCUGUGAAACAAAAAAACCAAUUAAUAUAGGUAUAUAUGUGCUGCAGAUAAUGUAAUUAGUACUAUUAUUAAUAUAAUUUUUUUAUGCUGGAUCAAAAUGGCAUAAUAAAUUUUGUGGCCUAACCACAAAAUAAACAUUAGAGUAGAAGGAUUUAGCCAGAGUUCAUCCUAGAGUCAAAUGCAAAUAGAAAAAUAUAAGAUGAAGAAAAUAUUAAAAGUUGCAGGAAAGUAAUGCAGUGGUGCAAAUCUGUCUACAACUUAGGCAAAGCCUAGUAAAUUUCCUAAAAUCUGUCUACUACCUUAAUUGGAUUACUAAUUUAUUUUUAUUGAGGUGAAUAAGUGGAGUGGCCAGGCCGGGGUUCGAACCCCGACUCCUGCACAUAUAGUGCGAUGUCACCAGGACAUUACUAAUUUACUCUUAACUAACAUAAACUUCACCAAAACCUUCUUGCAUUUGACAAAUAUACUCACUUAUUUUAUUUGGUAUAUUUAUAGGAUUCCACCAAUGCAGAUGGGGAUAUCACAACCUAUCUGUGAUAGAAGAUGUUGUUGAGAAUUACAAGAAGGCCAAAAUUCCACUUGAUGUGAUAUGGAAUGAUGAUGAUCACAUGGAUGGACACAAGGACUUCACUGUCAAUCCAAUUAACUAUCCACUUCCAAAGCUUUUAAGCUUUUUGGAGAGAAUACACAACAUUGGCAUGAAAUACAUUGUGAUUAAUGAUCCUGGAAUUGCUGUUAAUACCAAUUAUGGUGUAUACCAAAGGGGUAUAGCUAAUGAUGUUUUUAUCAAACAUGAAGGUGAACCAUUCAUGGCUAUGGUUUGGCCAGGAGCAGUGUACUUUCCUGAUUUUCUCAAUCCUAAAACAGUUUCUUGGUGGGGUGAUGAGAUUCGCCGCUUCCAUGAACUUGUUCCGAUUGAUGGCUUAUGGAUUGAUAUGAACGAAGUUUCAAAUUUCUGCACUGGAAAGUGUACUAUUCCAAAGGAUAGGUUUUGUCCACUUCAAGGUGAAAAAUUACCAAAUUCUACAUGUUGCUUAGAUUGUACAAACAUCACAAGCACAAGAUGGGAUGAUCCUCCUUACAAAAUCAACGCUUCAGGAAAAGAGGUUCCAAUAGGCUACAAAACUAUAGCAACUAGUGCAGUUCAUUAUAAUGGUGUGUUGGAAUAUGAUGCUCAUAGUCUUUUUGGUUUCUCAGAAGCUAUUGCAACACACAAGGCACUUCAUGAACUUCAAGGUAAACGACCGUUUGUUUUGUCUCGUUCGACUUAUGUAGGAUCGGGAAAAUAUGCAGCUCAUUGGACUGGUGACAACAAAGGAACAUGGGAGGAUUUAAGAUAUUCUAUUUCUACUGUCCUCAAUUUUGGAAUAUUUGGCAUGCCAAUGGUUGGUGCAGAUAUAUGUGGUUUCUAUCCAGCACCUACUGAAGAGCUUUGUAAUAGAUGGAUUGAGGUUGGUGCUUUCUAUCCUUUCUCAAGGGAUCAUUCAAGUGUUAUUUCUCCCAGACAAGAACUUUACCAAUGGGAAUCAGUAGCUGAAUCAGCUAGAAAUGCUUUGGGGAUGAGGUAUAAGCUCCUACCCUAUCUAUACACCCUAAACUAUGAGGCUCAUAUUAGUGGAGCCCCAAUUGCUAGGCCACUUUUCUUCUCAUUUCCAAAUUAUAUUCAAUGUUAUGGCCUCAGCACUCAGUUUUUACUCGGAACCAGUUUACUGAUUUCUCCUGUUCUCGAGCAAGGGAAAACAGAAGUUGAAGCGCUCUUUCCUCCGGGAACGUGGUACAGUUUAUUUGAUUUGACACAGGCCAUUGUUUCAAAAGAUGGAAACUAUGUUACCCUUGAUGCACCCUUGCAUGAAAUCAAUGUGCAUUUAUAUCAGAAUACUAUUCUACCAAUGCAACAAGGUGGUAUGGUAUCUAAGGAUGCUAGAAUGACACCUUUUAGUCUCAUCGUGACAUUUCCAGCAGGUUCAAAUGAAGGAGAAGCUAAAGGAAACUUGUUUCUUGAUGAUGAUGAGAUUCCAGAUAUGAAGCUUGGAAAUGGAUAUUCAACCUAUAUUGAUUUCCAUGCAACUGUCAAAGAAGGAAAUGUGACAGUUUGGUCAGAAGUUCAAGAGGGUAAGUUUGCUUUGGAUAAAGGUUUGGUUAUUGACACAAUAAAUGUGUUAGGAUUGAGUUAUGGAAGUGUAGAACUAGUUAGAAUUGAGAUAGAUGAAGAGCCAUCAAUUGGUGUUUCAAAUGUGAAAGUUGGUAUAUCAGAACAUAAGUACUUGUAUAAGCAAGAACAUGGAGAAAAGAAGACAGUGAUGGUUGGAAUGAAGGGAUUGAAUAUCCCUGUAGGUAAAAGAUUUGCUCUUACUUGGAAGAUGGGGUCAUAAGUUUAGAUUGUCUAAUCUUUAUUAUUGGAUCUCAAUGUUAGGUUUCUUGAAUUUUUUUUCCUUUGUUGUUAUCUUCCAUUAUCCUAUCUUUGUGUAAUCAAGCAAGAGAAGUAUUGAAUAACAUUGAGUUUUUGUAAAUUGAUUUUAAGAGAGAGAAAAACAAAAAAGUGUUUGUUGCUUUUUAGUAGUAGUUUUUUUUUUUAUAAGUUUUUUUUUAUAGGUAACCAACAGUUUGCCGUAUCAUGUUUGACCCCAUUAGACGUCGCGAGAUAUCCUCACGGCUUAGACCCUUUGGGUUUGCUAUGUGACUAAUCCUCAAGUCGGUAACGUGACAUCUAUUUUUUUUAUCAAAGCUAGACUAUCUCUCAAAUGAAUGACUCCCAAGAGUAGAACCAAAUUCUUUUCCUAAGAGAAAGUCAUGUUACCAACUCUUCCAACACUUUUUUUUUUUAAUAAAAAUUUGCGAUAAAUAGUUAGUUAUAACUUAUAACAAUAGCUUUUGAAUAAAAGCUUUAUUUCUCAACAUAAUACCCCAAAAAAAAAACUAUAUAUUCAUCACACGACCUUUAUACCAAGUUUUGUUUUUUAGGUACAAACCUUUAUCACACAAGCUUUCAUACAAAGUAGUAGUAAUUUAUAAAACACAAGAGUAUUGAUUCUACAAUUCUAGAAUAAAGCUUCAAAAACAAAAAUGGCUGUAUGAGAUUAUUUUAAACGUUUUUUAUGUAAUGUAAUGAAUCUUUUAUGAAUUCCCUUUUUCAAGAGAGAAAAAUUAUGUAACACGUAAUCUUUAUGAAGUAUGAACCCAACCAAAGUAACAAACCAAUUAAUGAUAAUUGAAAUGAUGCAGUGAAAGAGAUCCAUAUAGAAAGUCAGAAAGAACAUGUUCGAUUUGAUGAAUUGCAUAACUAAACAAAUCGUUAAUUUAUAGGUGCUCAAUCAAUUGAUUGCAUGAAUUCUACAAUCAUAUAUACCUAGCCAAUCUGCAGCAGAACUAAACAUGAACUAUACUAUCCAAUCUACAACUGGGACAUGAUUCACAAAUUAAGGGAAAUCAAUUGUAUUCAUGCAGAUAAAUCAGUGUAAACAAGCAACAAGUUCAUCAGAUAAAUGAUUAUUUCAUUUAAAAUAACUUAUUUCAGCAAACUAAUAUCAAAUAUUUUCAUCAGAUAAUCCUCAAGGCUCAAGCCAUGGUAUAGUAUUAUUACCUAAAACUCUUUUUGAUUUUACAGAGUCCUAAGACGUUGCCUUUAUUACUUAAGGGAAAAAAAAAACAACUAUAAGUGGGUAAUGAGUUACUCCUAGAACGAAUUGUUCGAAAAAAUUCGAGUUCAAUUUCUGAUAAGAACAAAUUUUGGUUAUGGCCGAACUCUGUAUUACCGGAGCCCCUUCUCCUGAUGAUUAAAGGGUUAAUACCGGGGAAAACAAUUAUCUAUCCACUUCAGCAUAUAGGAGAGCACAUGCAUAGAGAAGCUGACUAUACAGAAAAAGUAUGUAGUUUAUUUCCGUACAUUAUUACCACCGCACAAACAUUGGCCUUGUUUGAUGCACACACAACCACCACAGCAAAAUGAGUGCAACUCCAAUGCAAGGUGGGUCUCCACCACAUUACUAAAAGAGAAGAAAGAAUAAGAUAUGAAAUGGCCCACAAUCACUCACAGGUUACAUGAUCCUCCAAAGUCCAAAGUCACGCGUAAGAUAAUGGAUCCAAUGACUCACUUUCUCAUUCCCUCAAUGAAGAUAGAUAAACAACAACACAAAACAGAAAACUAACCAACUUCUCAUUUAUAAAUUAGAACUCACUCAUGUUGCCUUACUCUACAGUGUGCUAAUAUGGCUUCUCUUAAUCCAUUAGUCACUCUUUGUCUAACUUACAUACUUCUAACUUUGUUUCAUUGUGUAGCUCAACAAGCUACUCCUCCAAAGUCCACCAAAAUUGGUCAAGGUUAUCGUUUGAUAUCCAUUGAAGAUGCCCCUAAUGGUGCCAUCACAGGACUCCUUCAAGUUAACGAGAAGAAUGAUAUAUAUGGUCCUGACAUUCCCCUUCUACGCUUCUAUGUCAAGUAAGUCAUACUCAUACACAACAUCAAUAUGAUGUCUUAGAAUCAGGAGUUGGGCCUAACUCAACCCUACAAAACUGGUUUGUGAGGUGAGCAUUGUCCGUUACUUAUAAGCCUAUGUCCAGGUCAAUUCACAUCCAAUGUGGGACUUCUUUAACAUUAUGCAUUUGACUUCUUACUUAACUUUGUUCUUUCAUUUUGUAGGCAUGAGACUGAGAAUCGUUUGAGGGUACACAUAACUGAUGCAAAGAACCAAAGGUGGGAAGUUCCUUAUGAUCUUUUGCCUAGGGAGAAACCACCAACUCUAAAGCAGAACAUUAAGAGGUUGAACAAGAAUUCAAUAUCAGUGUCAGAGUACUCAAGUUCUGAGCUAGUUUUCAGUUACACUCCUGACCCGUUUAGCUUUGCAGUCAAAAGAAAGUCCAAUGGUGAUACCAUAUUUGACUCCAAUUCUAAUGACUCAGACUCAUUUGGUCCAUUGGUCUUCAAAGACCAAUACUUGGAAAUUUCUACCAAAUUGCCAAAAGAUGCUUCUUUGUAUGGUUUAGGAGAGAACACACAGCCUCAUGGGAUAAAGUUGUACCCAAAUGACCCUUAUACUUUGUAUACUACUGAUGUAGCAGCUAUUGUUCUCAAUACUGAUCUAUAUGGUUCUCAUCCUGUAUACAUGGAUCUUAGAAAUGAAGGUGGCAAGCCUUAUGCACAUGGUGUUCUGUUGUUGAAUAGCAAUGGAAUGGAUGUGUUUUACAAAGGGAACUCUUUGACAUACAAGAUUAUUGGAGGGGUACUUGAUUUUUACUUCUUUGCAGGACUUACACCUCUGAAUGUUGUUGAUCAGUACACAUCCUUCAUCGGUAGACCAGCUCCAAUGCCUUAUUGGGCUUUCGGUAUGAUUCACUUUUCACAACCUCAUCAUUGUGAUGCAUAUUCCAUUUAAUAUUUCUACCGUGAUACCAAACAUAGGCUUAGUAUAUUAAAACUCGCC